AGAUUAAAUGAAACAAGCCAAGGUCACACUUUAUAUGUCCCCAUGUCCUCCAUGUCUGCACAAUCAAGACUGCUGCAAGACCAACAUGACUUACCACUGAAAUUAUACUGCAAACAACUGAAAUAUAUCUUUAUAUUACUAUUUAGACCUGGUCAAGGG